rnacentral:rRNA from 1 species
UUAGUGAAUAUAGGACGUCCAACUUAACUUGGAGUCCGAACUCUCACUUUCUAACCCUGUGCACUUGUUUGGGAUAGUAACUCUCGCAAGAGAGCGAACUCCUAUUCACUUAUAAACACAAAGUCUAUGAAUGUAUUAAAUUUUAUAACAAAAUAAAACUUUCAACAACGGAUCUCUUGGCUCUCGCAUCGAUGAAGAACGCAGCGAAAUGCGAUAAGUAAUGUGAAUUGCAGAAUUCAGUGAAUCAUCGAAUCUUUGAACGCACCUUGCGCUCCAUGGUAUUCCGUGGAGCAUGCCUGUUUGAGUGUCAUGAAUACUUCAACCCUCCUCUUUCUUAAUGAUUGAAGAGGUGUUUGGUUUCUGAGCGCUGCUGGCCUUUACGGUCUAGCUCGUUCGUAAUGCAUUAGCAUCCGCAAUCGAACUUCGGAUUGACUUGGCGUAAUAGACUAUUCGCUGAGGAAUUCUAGUCUUCGGAUUAGAGCCGGGUUGGGUUAAAGGAAGCUUCUAAUCAGAAUGUCUACAUUUUAAGAUUAGAUCUCAAAUCAGGUAGGACUACCCGCUGAACUUAAGCAUAUCAAUAAGCGGAGGA